rnacentral:piRNA from 1 species
UCCCCCUUAGGUCUGACCUCAGAAGGC